CACUGAAACACUGGUUCUUGUGCAAUCACUGAAGUUAAGCAAUGUAGAGCCUGGUCAGUACCUAAAUGGGUGAUUGUUUAGGAAUACCAGGUGCUGUACG